UACGAAGGGGGCUAGCGUUGCUCGGUAUCACUGGGCGUAAAGGGUGCGUAGGCGGGUCUUUUAAGUCAGGGGUGAAAUCCUGGAGCUCAACUCCAGAACUGCCUUUGAUACUGAGGAUCUUGAGUUCGGGAGAGGUGAGUGGAACUGCGAGUGUAGAGGUGAAAUUCGUAGAUAUUCGCAAGAACACCAGUGGCGAAGGCGGCAUCCUGGACCGACAUUGACGCUGAUGAGCGAAAGCUAGGGGAGCAAACGGG
rnacentral:rRNA from 1 species